GAUCCUGGCUCAGGACGAACGCUGGCGGCGUGCUUCAUACAUGCAGGUCGAACGAUAAGGUCUCUUCGGAGAUACAUAAGUGGCGGACGGGUGAGUAAUGUGUAGAGAAUCUGCCCUAGAGUGGGGGACAACAGAGGGAAACUUCUGCUAAUACCCCAUAUGCGCGUAGCUGAGAUGCUAUUCGUGAAAACUCCGGUGCUCUAGGAUGAGUCUGCAUCUGAUUAGCUAGUAGGCGGUGUAAUGGACCACCUAGGCGACGAUCAGUAGCUGGUUUGAGAGGAUGAUCAGCCACAAUGGGACUGAGACACGGCCCAUACUCCUACGGGAGGCAGCAGUAGGGAAUUUUGCGCAAUGGGGGAAACCCUGACGCCAGCAACGCCGCGUGAAUGAAGAAGCCCUUCGGGGUGUAAAGUUCUGUCAGUGGGGACGAAACUUGACGGUACCCACAGAGGAAGCAUCGGCUAACUCCGUGCCAGCCGCAGC
rnacentral:rRNA from 1 species